CUGGAAAAGUAAUAUCUGGAGAACCAGGCACAAUGGCACAUACCUUUAAUCCCAGCACUCGGGAAGCUGAGGUAGGAGAACUGCCAUGAGUUUGAGGCCAGCCUGAAUUACAUAGUGAGACCCUGUUUCAAAAAAAACAAAAACAAAAACAAAAAUAAUAUCUGUCAACAGGAAUAUAACACCUUCCUCUAAAAUUCUAGUACCUAAUAACACUUUUGGUAAUUAAUCCCACACACUGGCAUAACAUCAGUUCCCCAAAAUACUUUUAAGAAUCAACUUGCCACUAGUGCUAUGUACCAUGCUCCAAAAUAAAAUCUGUGCACAUACCCUGCCCUCAGCUGACCCCAAUCUCAAACCUCUGCUCUUGCACAGUCCAGCCACACAUGCCUGGUUUUGGUCACCUCCACAGAGUCCCCUCUGGAUUUUACAAUGGAAGUGAAGAGAAAGUAAACAACUUUCUCUCUUGCAAUGAGAAACUUUACCGUUUCUCCCUGCCAGAGUUUCAGAAAAAGGGGGCCACAGAGGGUUGAGCCAGUUGGCAGACCCUACUUAUCAACAGAAAACCUGGCCAGGGAGGGAAGAGAUUCUGGAAACAGCGUUCGUGUGCGUAGAGCUGAUAGAGGCUCACAGUACUGCAAAAAUAUCCCAGAUAAGAGCAGCAGGACCACCAGCACACAGUGAUUUAUGGACUUUCUUGAAUCCCCAGAAGUACAGGGAACAUUGUGUGCAGCCCUGCAUAUCCCCACUGGGUCUGUGAUCCAAACAAGCAACCAUAUACUCCCCAGCAGCGACAAAAGUGCCAACACUGUGGAUAUUUUGUGAACGAUUACAGAGUUUGUGGUUUAAAGCACCAGAAUAUCACCUUCAUAUUAUGGGAAGAAUAGAAUCAAAAGC
rnacentral:lncRNA from 1 species